UACGGAGGGUGCAAGCGUUAAUCGGAAUUACUGGGCGUAAAGCGUGCGCAGGCGGUUUGUUAAGUCCGUUGUGAAAGCCCCGAGCUCAACUUGGGAAUUGCAGUGGAUACUGGCAGGCUGGAGUACGGUAGAGGAAGGUGGAAUUCCCGGUGUAGCAGUGAAAUGCGUAGAGAUCGGGAGGAACACCAGUGGCGAAGGCGGCCUUCUGGACCAGUACUGACGCUCAUGCACGAAAGCGUAGGGAGCAAACAGG
rnacentral:rRNA from 1 species